CUGCCAGUAGUCAUAUGCUUGUCUUAAGGAUUAAGCCAUGCAUGUCUCAGUAUAAACGAUUUUAUACGGUGAAACUGCGAAUGGCUCAUUACAACAGUUAUAGUUUAUUUGAUCGUGCGGUACUACGUGGAUAACCGUAGGAAUUCUAGAGCUAAUACAUGCCCCUUCGCUUUCAAAAUUUUUUUUUUUUUAAAAAAAAAAAAGUAGAAAGCGGGAUUUAUUAGAUCAAAAACCAAUCGCUUUAGAGCGUGGCGGGAUGAAUCAUAAUAACUUUCCGAAUCGCAAGGCUUUAAAUUUAGCCGGCGAUAAAUCAUUCAAAUUUCUGCCCUAUCA
rnacentral:rRNA from 11 species